rnacentral:lncRNA from 1 species
CAACCUACCAAGUCACCAAACAUAACAACUUUUAAAACAAAAAAAACACCUUUGAAGUCCAUACACUUAGUCAUUUUCAACCUACCAAGUCGCCAAACAUAACCUCUUUAAAAACAAAAAAUCACCUUUAAUGUUUCUACACUUAACAAUUUUUAACUUACCAAGUCACCAAACGUCACCACUUUCAAGACAAAAAAUCACAAUUAAAAUUCCUACACUCAACCAUUUUCAACCUACAAAGUCACCAAAUAUAACCACAUUCAAACCGAGAAA